ensembl:lncRNA
GGCCCCUGGAAACAGAAACUGCGAUGCAGAAGGUGGGGACAAACUGACAUUUGGAAAUAUUCUGGUCAAGUUCUGACUGGUGUUUGUUGAGGAUGCUGUUGUGAAGCCCAGAUGAGUCAUUAGGGGUCAAAGGCAAGGACUGUCCUCAGAUUUUGGAGAAAGCUUCUUUGAAAAAGUUCAGAUGACAGAUGGAUACAAUUUCAUUCCCUAGGAGGAAAGAAAGCUGCUCAAAAACAAAAUUAUGACAACUGCAUAUAAGAGGAUCCUAAAAAUUUAAACUUGGAGAAAAGAGCCAAAAUAUUUUGCUUUUCAAUGUAUGGAGAACAGUGGGAUAUGUGUUUGAAUAGGGAUUUUAUUCCGGAAUGACAAGUGAAUUCUCUACACACUGAAUGGGAAUUUGUAUUCUCACCUACAUAGCUUGUAACUAUCACACAGCUCAUAUAUAUUGCAAAUAUAUAUGUUAAGAACAGAAAACAUGAAUGAUUAAAGGGAGGGUAUUCCCUUAUCUGAAGAAGGCUUUAUUUGUCUUAAAGAGGGCUAUUGAGGAGAGUUUCUGACCGGUUUGAAGUAGACAGGAUAAGAAAGGGGAUUUAAAAAAAAAAAAAAAAAGAAAGGGGAUUUUACAGAAAGUUAUUGAGCUGUGUUUACAGAAUUGAGAUUAUGUAAGUUAAUCAGUAAUAGUUAUUUCAUAAAGCACUAAGCACAUGCAAGGUGAUCUAAACUUCAGACAGACCUCAAUUCAGAUGCCAGCCCCUGUGUUUGUGGUCAUAUGACACUAGUAAAGGGUAAGCUCUCUGAGCUACAUCUCUGAAAAUAAGGCUAAUAAUUCACUUUUUACAUAUUCUUGGGAAGAACGAAUGAGCUACUAGCAAAGUGUUUACCAUACUGUAAAAAAAAAGUUAUAUUAUCAAGAAACAGUAAUCAUAAGUCAUUGAUUAUUUUUAAAUACACUUUUUGAAGUGAACUUAUUUUGAAGACCUCUGAUAUGCUGUGAUAUGCUGGCUAUUCAGCAGUACCUGCUCUUGGAUUUUUCCCCAUUUAUAUCAACAACCUCAGAUGCAGAUGACACCACCCUUAUGGCAGAAAGUGGGGAAGAACUAAAGAGCCUCUUGAUGAAAGUGAAAGAGGAGAGUUUGGGUAAACUCCGGGAGUUGAUGAUGGACAGGGAAGCCGGGCGUGCUGCAGCCCAUGGGGUCACAGAGUCGGACACGACUGAGGGACUGAACUGAACUGAACUGAAAGUAUAAAUUUUAGUGUCAAGUUGAUUCAAGGAAAAAUAUUUGUUCAAAUGGGGUCUAACUAAUUUGUGAGAUACACAGAUACAUCUGAUGUAACAAAUAAAAGAUCUCAAAAAAAAAAGGGGGGGGAAUUCACUAAAUGUUGCUGC